rnacentral:rRNA from 1 species
GACGAACGCUGGCGGCGUGCUUAACACAUGCAAGUCGAACGGAAAGGCCCUGCUUUUGUGGGGUGCUCGAGUGGCGAACGGGUGAGUAACACGUGAGUAACCUGCCCUUGACUUUGGGAUAACUUCAGGAAACUGGGGCUAAUACCGGAUAGGAGCUCCUGCUGCAUGGUGGGGGUUGGAAAGUUUCGGCGGUUGGGGAUGGACUCGCGGCUUAUCAGCUUGUUGGUGGGGUAGUGGCUUACCAAGGCUUUGACGGGUAGCCGGCCUGAGAGGGUGACCGGCCACAUUGGGACGGAGAUACGGCCCAGACCCCUCCGGGAGGCAGGGGGGGGGAAUAUUGCACAAGGGGCGGAAGCCUGAUGCAGCAACGCCGGGGGGGGGAUGACGGCCUUCGGGUUGUAAACCGCUUUCGCCUGGGACGAAGGGGGGGUGACGGUAAUGGGGAAAGAAGCACCGGCUAACUACGU